GUUAUUAUAGUUGAAUAACAACGGUGGUUUUUCGGACCAUAAGUUCUGGUCAGUGCCAGAUAAUAAUA